UAAAAUCCUAUAAACAUGUUUUCUACCCAUACCCUUAAUUAUCAUGCAUAACCCUCCCCAAUUUCACUAUAAUUCCCAUUGUUAUUUACAAGUUAUUACAGACAAAAUAAUUUAAUAAAUACAACAGUGAAAGAAAAGAAGAAGCUAUUCUAUAGGGAGCCUACAACCAGGCCCAAGCAGCUCCAACCUCACUUCUUUCGAGUUUCACAGUCAUUGCCAAGGCUUGGGUGCGGCAAAGUUCCCUAAGGGUUCAUUUGAACCCCUGGCCAAUACCAAGCACCCAAAAUAUCCAUAUUGGACAAAUGUGGAAGUGCCAGCCUUGUGCAUCAAAGUGCAACGGGUGCUCAAGUCUCCCAAGGCAGUGCUUACACUAAAGGGGCAGAUCCUAAAGCUCUAAGAAUGAGAUUGUGAUUAGAGUUUAGAGAGUUGAAAGCAGUUGGGAGACAAGUUAAGAAAGCAGUUGAAAGAAUUGAGAGAUUUUAAGAAAAUUGUUGCAAGAGUUGGAAAAAGUUGAGACAGUUUAAGAAAGCAGUUGAAAGAAUUGAGAGAGUUUAAGAAAAUAGUUGAAAGAGUUGGAAAAGUUGAGACAAUUUAAGAAAAAUAGUUGAAAGAGUUGAAGAAGUUCUUUUGGAAGCAUUUAGACUGACCAGGUUUAGAACAACAGAGCAUCACACAAAUGAGGGCAAAGGGGAAGGGAACAAAUAAGCAAAGUAAACUACUCACAUAGGCAACACAUUGGAAGAAGUAACAGACAUGAUUGCAUAAACAAGAGUUUAGUUCUUACUGUACCAAACUCUAAUACACCUAGCUUAAAACAGAAGUUUUAGGUUAACCAAGUAUCCUGACAGACAUGGAUGCCUGGUAGUAGUACAUAAGGAAACAUCCAUUUAGACAGGGAAGUGGGUAAGGGAGCAUAUUAAUCUAAACCAAAUAGACUAGUAAGUAACAUGCUAGUGACAAAAAGAACAACAAAACCAUAAGUAAAAAACAUUAUGAAAUGCAAAACCAAUAGAAACAUGUUGUUGUGGAAACUGUAUCUUAAAGGGGUGACAUACCAGUUGCAAGUAAUAGACCACAAUGACAAUAGUGUACGUAGGAACAAAGUGAGCAGAGAGUGUAAGCAGCAGAGAGAAUAACAGAAGUAUGAGAAUAGCAGCAUCAAUGUGAGAAUAGCAG
rnacentral:lncRNA from 1 species